CCGGGUGCCCUUGGGGCCCGGAAGUGAGACGGGCGCCGGAGGUGUCCGGUGUCCGCUCGUACCCAACUUGCUCAGUGGAGGAUUUGGCUAUGAGAA
rnacentral:sRNA from 1 species